AUGUCAACCAUGCUAGCAUCUAAAAUUAACAGUAUAAUCCAAGUCCAAAUAAGUGAGCGCCCACAUGUUUACAACGUCCGUGCAAAACCCCUGGAACCAAAAGCAGAACUGUACAAUAACAUAAACCAAGUUCAGAAAAAAGCAAGAACUGCAGCCUCAAGCUCCAAAAAAACAUCACCUGUUCACAGCCAGAUCUAUAGCCUGCAUCUGCUCUUUCUCCUAGCUGUUGUCAUCGAUCUGGGCUGGCAUCGGCGACCAGGAGGAGGCCCGCACAUGGAUUCAGUGCUCGCCGGAGGUAGGGCUGAGGUGGGGAGGUGGGAAGCAGCCGUGGUCGUUGGAAGAGGGCACCCUGAGGUACGGCUGACGGCCUCGAGACGGAGAACGUCGGCAACCAUGGAUCGGGCAACCUAG
rnacentral:rRNA from 1 species